ACUAUGAUAUGACCUUCUGUAAUAAUGAACUAGUUUUGCUGAUGCAAGCCAUCGAUUCAGUCUAUAACGAUGAUUGGAGGGUGAGAGGUGCUACGUCUUUCAUCAAAGAUCGUUUGAAAGAGAUAAUAUACACUACUGGGGAGUACCAUUUUUAUCCGAUUGAUCUAUAUCAUUUAGAUAAAUAUUAUUUAAAGAAAGAGAAUUUCCUCUAUCAGUUAGUUACUAUGGAAAUGGAAAUGGAAGAAGAUAGAGGGGUCUUAACCACAGAAUGUGUGAACGGUGAUGAUUUACAUGUCUAUAAGUGUAGAUUUGCAUCUGAUGCACUUCUACGCGUUAGCAAAAGUGUUAUUAAACACCGUCUUAGUCUUAGUAGAUGGAUAUGGAUA
rnacentral:misc_RNA from 1 species